rnacentral:rRNA from 1 species
GGUGGUCCCACCUGACCCCAUGCCGAACUCAGAAGUGAAACGCCGUAGCGCCGAUGGUAGUGUGGGGCAUCCCCAUGCGAGAGUAGGGAACUGCCAGGC